GUGUUUUCAUAUCUUUUGUCACUGUAACUUUUGUUGGGACACCUUUACCUUGUGUCGUUAAACAAUGGAAGUUUGGGAAAAGGACACAACAGGAAGUCAUGAAAAUUACAGGAAAAUCCUACAUUCACGACCCAGCCUGCAUAAGCUUUCAGAUUUUGAAGGGCCCCGAUCGGGGGGACGGGUGAAAGUAAGGGCUACGGGCUAUCCCGCUCCUAACUGACCGAACGCCCAUAGGGCGUAGCCGUUACGCGCUGACAGUGACCCGUAUGUCGGACUUUUCACUCCGCCCUCUGACCUCGCGCCCGCAUUUGCUGACCUGCUGUCGGAUUCCACACUCGCCGCCCGAUGGGCUUCUACCUGCAACAACCGCUUUGGUCAUCGCAUUCUCGGUGAGUUUGUGAAUUAAGUGUAAAGUGUACCCUAAAAUUCUGUAAAAUAUUAUAACAUGAAUUAUUCAUACCAGUUGAAACUGUCUGUACAGUAUCAGGAUUUCUGGUAUUAGUUUAAUUUAAUUUGUAUAGUUCAGCCCGAAUCGUCGAUUUGUUGCGUGCUACUUCCGCUUUGUGCCAUGUGCUCGCUGUAGGAAGAUGCCGCAUGGCUAACACAAGGAAAUGCUGAAGAUCGGGGAUCGUGCUUAGUCAAAGCAUUGUAAUAAUGCCGACUACAAAACAGUCAACAGAUAACUCCACAGCGUGGCUGAAGAUGAGCCAAGCUGAAUGUAUAGUGAUAUUCAAGAUCCUGGAAGGGUUGUAAGAAAAUCAACUGACAUGGUAUAUGACGAGACUGGUUAUUCCCAAUCUGGAAUGAGUGGAAUUAUAAAAGAAGAACUAAAAUAUUUCAUCACUCUGCAUAUGAAACAGGAUUAUUGCUGUACCACAGCAGCCUGGGGAUAUUAUAUCUGCCACUGCUUACAAAUAGUUUGGAAGUAACUGGCAAGAAUGGAGGAACAAGUCCAAGGACAAAGCCAUCUGAUGGUCAGUGCAAUAAGAAAUCAAAGAAAAUAACCAUGCAUGUGUUUAAUUUAUCAAUGUAAGCAUGGCUUUAUCAUUCAUGAUUUGUUUAUGAAGAAAGUUAACCCUGCCUAUUACCCUGUUCUGGGUAAUCUCUGCAUGUUGUACACCUGUUUACAAGUGCAACUGCUUUGAUGUGAUAUGGUUCUAGUGAUUCUACCUUAUUAGUUUUCCUUUCUAAUCCACAAAUAGUAAUCAACACUAGAAGCAAGCCUACAUGAAUCUAUUUACAUAAGUGGUGUUGGCCAUCAACUUCCUGUUGCCUCCUAGCUGCUUUAAAGCUCAUAAAUAGUAAGAAACAGAAAUACGUUUUACUUCAACUGAAUGGCACAUCGGUAAGAAGUGAAUAAAUUGAAAUGCCUUGUUUUUGCUUAUCAUUAAAGGACUAAUAUUUUUAUCGCAGAUGGGUCAUGCUAUUGAAGAGCACAGAGAAAUGUUUAAAAGCAUGCUCCACAUAUGAAUCAAGUUAUGAAAUGUAGGUGAUCAAGGAAUGACUCCAGUAGCAAUUCAUGUUUUAGGUGAGGAAGCUUAUAGGCUGGAAGAGGAAUCUGUGUGUAGAGAAUUUAGGGGGAAAGUGGCUGUU